rnacentral:tRNA from 1 species
AGAGAUGUGCCCGAAUUGGUUAGGGAGCUGACUGUAAAUCAGUGCAUUAUCGCAAUAAAGGUUCGAGUCCUUUCAUCUCAA